rnacentral:rRNA from 1 species
AUUGAACGCUGGCGGCAGGCCUAACACAUGCAAGUCGAACGGUAACAGGAAGAAGCUUGCUUCUUUGCUGACGAGUGGCGGACGGGUGAGUAAUGUCUGGGAAACUGCCUGAUGGAGGGGGAUAACUACUGGAAACGGUAGCUAAUACCGCAUAAUGUCGCAAGACCAAAGAGGGGGACCUUCGGGCCUCUUGCCAUCGGAUGUGCCCAGAUGGGAUUAGCUAGUAGGUGGGGUAACGGCUCACCUAGGCGACGAUCCCUAGCUGGUCUGAGAGGAUGACCAGCCACACUGGAACUGAGACACGGUCCAGACUCCUACGGGAGGCAGCAGUGGGGAAUAUUGCACAAUGGGCGCAAGCCUGAUGCAGCUAUGCCGCGUGGAUGAAGAAGGCCUUCGGGUUGUAAAGUACUUUCAGCGGGGAGGAAGGGAGUAAAGUUAAUACCUUUGCUCAUUGACGUUACCCGCAGAAGAAGCACCGGCUAACUCCGUG